UGGGGAAUAUUGCACAAUGGGCGCAAGCCUGAUGCAGCCAUGCCGCGUGUGUGAAGAAGGCCUUCGGGUUGUAAAGCACUUUCAGCGGGGAGGAAGGCGUUAAGGUUAAUAACCUUGUCGAUUGACGUUACCCGCAGAAGAAGCCCCGGCCAACUCCGUGCCAGCAGCCGCGGUAAUACGGAGGGUGCAAGCGUUAAUCGGAAUUACUGGGCGUAAAGCGCACGCAGGCGGUUGAUUGAGUCAAAUGUGAAAUCCCCGGGCUUAACCUGAGAUCAGCAUUGGAAACUGGGGAGCUAGAGUCUUGUAGAGGGGGGGAGAAUUCCAUGUGUAGCGGUGAAAUGCGUAGAGAUGUGGAGGAAUACCGGUGGCGAAGGCAGCCUCCUGGGCUAAGACUGACGCUCAGAGGCGAAAGCGAGGGGAGCAAACAGG
rnacentral:rRNA from 1 species